AGUAAUAGAUUUUUGCACUGCCUGAAAAAACGAUAUCAGUGUGCAGGUGCAGCUUGAAGCAUUUUCAGUGGGCGCUGAUUUUUUCUACAAACUCAUCGAUGAAACGGCAUGGAUUAGCUCAAGGCACCUGGAAAUGGCAACCUUUCUUA